GCAGUGGUGGUGUUCAGUGGUAGCAUUCUUGCCUUUCAUACAGGAGACCCAGGCUCAAUUCCUGGCCAGGGCA
rnacentral:tRNA from 1 species